rnacentral:rRNA from 1 species
AACGAACGCUGGCGGCAGGCUUAACACAUGCAAGUCGAGCGCCCCGCAAGGGGUGCGGCAGACGGGUGAGUAACGCGUGGGAACGUACCCUUUGGUACGGUACAACUCAGGGUAACUGGAGCCAAUACCGGAUAAGCUCUUACGGGGAAAGAUUUAUCGCCGCAAGAUCGGCCCGCGUCUGAUUUGUCAGUUGGUGAGGUAACGGCACACCAAGGCGACGAUCAGUAGCUGGUCUGGGAAGAUGAUCAGCCACACUGGGACUGAGACACGGCCCAGACUCCGAGGGGGGGCAGCGGUAGAGAAUAUUAGACAAGGGACGCUAGCCUAGUCCAGCCGUGCCGCGUGAGUGAGGAAUGCCUUAGGAUUGUAAAGCUCUUUGGUACGAGAAGAAAGUGACUGUACCGGAAGAAGAAGCCCCGGCUAACUUCGUG